rnacentral:lncRNA from 1 species
GCGUCGCCCUGGUAACCCGGGAGGCAGAAAGGCGCUGAAUCACCAGCGCGGGCUCGCAGCGUCUGUCUGUGCAGCCGCAGGGGUGGGCAGGUGUCGCCUGCAGGUGUGCCUCGCAGGUGUCUCAACUGGACAUCAGCGGCUGGCCAGUCUGGAGUACCGCGGAGCCUGGAGAUCGCUGGGGAUGGAGGUAAGAGCCGCACUCAGCUGCCUGCGUUCCUGUUUGGAUCGAUGGGUUCUCAGCAGGGUGGAGUCAGGGAGACUUGGGCAGCUAACCUUAAACCUAAGAAUCGGUUUCUUUAAAGUUCAUUCAGAACUGGCAUUUGCUAAAUGCAUUUCGUAUCUUAGUCAGAGGCUUUUAAUCUGGACUCCAGGUCCCCGGAUUUCUAGCUAGGGUGUAGUUGGGAUUCCUCCUUACCUCUGCCUAGGGAUGCAGGAUAUGAGUGUGUUUAUGAGACUGGGUGAUGGGGUGUUGAACGAAGCUCCAGUGAGCUUGCAGUGUUUAGCUUCAGCAGCCACCUCAGGUGCAGAAUCCCAUCUCCCAGCCCAGCUGGCCAACUGUCAGCAACGACGACAGCAAGCAGGUAGGUGGUGUC